AGUCACGCUGUAAACGAUGUCGAUUUGGAGUUUGUUGCCUAGAGUGAUGGGCUCCGAAGCUAACGCGAUAAAUCGACCGCUGGGGAGUACGGCCGCAAGGUUAAAACUCAAAUGAAUUGACGGGGGCCCGCACAAGCGGUGGAGCAUGUGGUUUAAUUCGAUGCAACGCGAAGAACCUUACCUACUCUUGACAUCCAGAGAAUUUAGCAGAGAUGCUUUAGUGCCUUCGGGAACUCUGAGACAGGUGCUGCAUGGCUGUCGUCAGCUCGUGUUGUGAAAUGUUGGGUUAAGUCCCGCAACGAGCGCAACCCUUAUCCUUUGUUGCCAGCACAUUAUGGUGGGAACUCAAAGGAGACUGCCGGUGAUAAACCGGAGGAAGGUGGGGAUGACGUCAAGUCAUCAUGGCCCUUACGAGUAGGGCUACACACGUGCUACAAUGGCGUAUACAAAGAGAAGCGACCUCGCGAGAGCAAGCGGAACUCAUAAAGUACGUCGUAGUCCGGAUUGGAGUCUGCAACUCGACUCCAUGAAGUCGGAAUCGCUAGUAAUCGUAGAUCAGAAUGCUACGGUGAAUACGUUCCCGGGCCUUGUACACACCGCCCGUCACACCAUGGGAGUGGGUUGCAAAAGAAGUAGGUAGCUUAACCUUCGGGAGGGCGCUUACCACUUUGUGAUUCAUGACUGGGGUGAAGUCGUAACAAGGUAACCA
rnacentral:rRNA from 1 species